UAAAGACAAAUGUCGGUGCCACCGACAAAUGACCAUUUUACCCUUUUGUCUUUUCUAUGGCUGGAGACCUUUGUCUUUACCACAGACCAUCAUCCUCUGUAACCUCUCAUCCUCUGCAGAUCUCAUUUUUCCAAACCUUGAGCUUCUCCCCCCCAAAUAUGAGCCUUCUCCCCCCAAAAUUUUCAGCAACACACCUCGAUCUCUUCCUUACCGCCACUUUUACUACGUUCUUCAAUACACACCCGUUUCUCCUCUCACCUGGAACCCUAACCAACCGGCGGCAACCUUUACCCCACACGAAAACCCUAAUUACUAACCGGCGGCAACCAAUUCCUCACCUAACCUGCAAAAACCCUAAUUACCUAACCGGCGAAAACCCCAAUCACCUAACCUGCGGCUACAAACCCUAAUCGGAGUGUAAUAGGAGGAGGUUGUUGUUCUACCUUUUCACUUGAGCUUGAACCGAGACGAAUAUAGUUUCAUUUAUAAAUAAUCAACAUUGAAUGCGCUUCAGAGUUCACACGAACGCAACUGACUUUUACAGCUUAUGAAGUGUUGUCGAACAGCGAAAAGAGGAGUAUUUACGACCGGUACAGUGAGGAAGGGCUUAAACAGCAUGCUGCUGGUGGCGGAGGAGGGGGCGGAGGGAUGAAUAUUCAGGACGUUUUUAAGUCGUAAGAUUUCGCUUUCAGACCUUAAUAUAAGUUUAAUCAUAGUGUCAUUAUUACAUAAUAUUUUUGGCAUUGGUUUUGGUUCACAAAUUUCUUUAAUUAUACCUUCACUAAAGAGUAUUAGUAUAGGCAUGUAAGUGUCAUUUGUAAUAAACCAUGUGCUUGGUUAGCUGGCAGGUGUUUGGGACUGGCGGACCGGAGUUUUUUUUUUCAGCGGUAUCACUAAUAUUCAGUGUUCGAUGUCUAUCACUAGAUUAUAGAAUGUUUGGACCAGUUCAUAAAUGGGUCGGGUAACAUAAUAUAGAUAUAAUGUAAUACGAAAUCCUUUAAAAAAAUACAUGAUAAAAACAUGAAGCGAUCAGACUUUCGACAAUCCAAAUUAGUAAUUAAUUUCAUUCGAUGGCAAUGUAAUUUUUUUAAGUAAAGAGUCGGGUCAAGUAUACAGUAUAAAUACGAGUUACUUCAACUUUCGACGCCGCCGCAACGCGCGGCGGGUCAAAAUCCUAGUACAUUUUAAAAUUAAAAUUCAAUUUUAAACCUAGGUUACAAUCGGUCAACUCUCAAGGAUAACCCGUUUUUGCCUCUCUACCAAAAUGUAAAGUUGGGCUAUCGAGCCCCACGUUUGGGCUUACUCGAUAAUUUUGGACCCUUUGGAAUUUGGUUAUCGCUUUUGUGGGCUAGAAAAAAUAAAGUAUUUGUACACGUGUAAAUGUGUAAUGUUGUUCAAUAUUUAUAUGUAUUAUUGGUUAA